rnacentral:rRNA from 1 species
GGCCUCUUGGAUUUUAAUAAGAGGUUUGACCUGCCCAGUGAAAAUUUAACGGCCGCGGUACUCUGACCGUGCAAAGGUAGCAUAAUCAUUAGUCUUUUAAAAGGAGGCUGGAAUGAAGGGUUUGACGAGGAAUUGACUGUCUCAUUUUUUUUUGAAUUUAAAAUUUAACUUUUUAGUCAAAAGGCUAAAAUUUUAUUGGUAGACGAGAAGACCCUAUAGAGCUUUAUAUUUAUUUGAUUAUUUAUAUUAUAUUAUUUAUUAUUAUUUUAGGUAAAUAUUUUGUUGGGGUGACAAAAAUAUAUAAUUAACUUUUUUAUUUUAAUUACAUUGAUUUAUGAAUAAGAGAUCCAUUAUUAUUGAUUGUUAGAUUAAGUUACCUUAGGGAUAACAGCGUAAUCCUCUUCCAGAGUUCAUAUUUACGGGAGGGCUUGCGACCUCGAUGUUGGAUUAAGAUAAUAUUUAGGUGUAGCCGCUUAAGUAAUAGGUCUGUUCGACCUUUAAAUUCUU